CCUCUCUCCAGCCUAACGCUAUCCCUUCCCUCUCUCCAGCCUAACGCUAUCCCUUCCCUCUCUCCAGCCUAACGCUAUCCCUUCCCUCUCUCCAGCCUAACGCUAUCCCUUCCCUCUCUCCAGCCUAACGCUAUCCAAAGUGUUACUGCUGUUAUUUUCAUGGAAAUUAUAAAGGAAUCCAUCAAAACUGUGAUGUAUAGAGAUUUGGAUACAAAUCCUUCAUGUAUAGACUAGUCCUCUGAAAGUAACUGUUGAAUCAAUCUGUUGUUAUGGACGUGUGUGUGUGCUCCAAAUGGAACCCUAUUCCUUAUAUAGUGCACUGCCUUUGACUAAGUAGUGCACUAUAUAGGCAAUAGGGGUGGCAUUUUGGAGGCAUGCAAUGUUGCGUUUUAUUUCCACCAUGGUGUGUUGUCCUGGAUAAAACGUUUCCAACUGAACUAGUAUCAGGCUGGAAUGGACAUGGCCUUGCUACAUCUCAUGGUUGAUCGAUUUAUGGUGUUUUUACAUUUUUACUGUUCAACUGUCCUUGGUGUAUUGUGUGAAUAAAUUAGAUCUUUUUUAUUUGUCAGGCUGUGUGCGUGUCUGAAAUGCCACUCUGUUUCCUAUAUAUAAAGCCCCAUAGGCUCUGGUCAAAAGUAGUGCACUAUAUAGGGUGUCAUUGGGCUCUGGUCAAAGUAGUGCACUUUAUAGGGAAUUGGGUGCCUUUUCAGACACACACAGUGUAUCUAGUUGAUGCCCUGCACCCAAUGUUGAAAUAAUGUUAGUUGAUAGUUUUCUAUGUUCUCUCAUGGAGGCCAGAGUAAAAUGAAGUAGUAAGCUAUUCUAGGCUACUGCUUGUUGUAUAACUUGCCUACUGAAGUGGUUGAUAGCCCUCAUGAAUCCCUAGUGCAUCUCAUGGGGGAAGUCCAGCAGUGGGGGAGGACUUGGAGGAAUCUAGAACUCUAGCAGUGGGAGGACUUGGGGGGAAUCUAGAACUCUAGCAGUGGGAGGACUUCGGGGGGGAAUCUAGAACUCUAGCAGUGGGAGGACUUGGGGGAAUCUAGAACUCUAGCAGUGGGAGGACUUGGGGGGAAUCUAGAACUCUAGCAGUGGGAGGACUUGGAGGAAUCUAGAACUCUAGCAGUGGGAGGACUUGGAGGAAUCUAGAACUCUAGCAGUGGGAGGACUUGGGGGGAAUCUAGAACUCUAGCAGUGGGAGGACUUGGAGGAAUCUAGAACUCUAGCAGUGGGAGGACUUGGGGGGAAUCUAGAACUCUAGCAGUGGGAGGACUUCGGGGGGAAUCUAGAACUCUAGCAGUGGGAGGACUUGGAGGGAAUCUAGAACUCUAGCAGUGGGAGGACUUGGGGGAAUCUAGAACUCUAGCAGUGGGAGGACUUCGGGGGGGAAUCUAGAACUCUAGCAGUGGGAGGACUUGGGGGAAUCUAGAACUCUAGCAGUGGGAGGACUUGGGGGGAAUCUAGAACUCUAGCAGUGGGAGGACUUGGGGGGAAUCUAGAACUCUAGCAGUGGGAGGACUUGGGGGGAAUCUAGAACUCUAGCAGUGGGAGGACUUGGGGGGAAUCUAGAACUCUAGCAGUGGGAGGACUUGGAGGAAUCUAGAACUCUAGCAGUGGGAGGACUUCGGGGGGGAAUCUAGAACUCUAGCACAGUGGGAGGACUUGGGGGAAUCUAGAACUCUAGCAGUGGGAGGACUUGGAGGAAUCUAGAACUCUAGCAGUGGGAGGACUUGGGGGGAAUCUAGAACUCUAGCAGUGGGAGGACUUGGGGGAAUCUAGAACUCUAGCAGUGGGAGGACUUGGAGGAAUCUAGAACUCUAGCAGUGGGAGGACUUGGGGGAAUCUAGAACUCUAGCAGUGGGAGGACUUCGGGGGAAUCUAGAACUCUAGCAGUGGGAGGACUUGGGGGGAAUCUAGAACUCUAGCAGUGGGAGGACUUGGGGGAAUCUAGAACUCUAGCAGUGGGAGGACUUGGGGGAAUCUAGAACUCUAGCAGUGGGAGGACUUGGGGGGAAUCUAGAACUCUAGCAGUGGGAGGACUUGGGGGGAAUCUAGAACUCUAGCAGUGGGAGGACUUGGGGGAAUCUAGAACUCUAGCAGUGGGAGGACUUGGGGGGAAUCUAGAACUCUAGCAGUGGGAGGACUUGGGGGGAAUCUAGAACUCUAGCAGUGGGAGGACUUGGGGGGAAUCUAGAACUCUAGCAGUGGGAGGACUUGGGAGGAAUCUAGAACUCUAGCAGUGGGAGGACUUGGGAGGAAUCUAGAACUCUAGCAGUGGGAGGACUUGGGGGAAUCUAGAACGCUAGCAGUGGGAGGACUUGGGGGGAAUCUAGAACUCUAGCAGUGGGAGGACUUGGGGGGAAUCUAGAACUCUAGCAGUGGGAGGACUUGGGGGGAAUCUAGAACUCUAGCAGUGGGAGGACUUGGGGGGAAUCUAGAACUCUAGCAGUGGGAGGACUUGGGGGUAAUCUAGAACUCUAGCAGUGGGAGGACUUGGGGGGAAUCUAGAACUCUAGCAGUGGGAGGACUUGGGGGGAAUCUAGAACUCUAGCAGUGGGAGGACUUGGGGGUAAUCUAGAAUGGGUGGCUAUUGUCAUUUCUUUCUCACAUACAGAUUUGAUGUUCCAAUCAGAGAGUCAAACACCUUUCUAUCCCUUUUAUAUUUAGCGGUUUGUGUCUCAUUCCAUGUUUUUAAUUUAUUUAUAGGUCAUUCAUUCACUCUAACAACUAGGGUUGCAAAAUUCUGGUUAAUUUCCUGGUUGGAGUUCUGGGAGAACUUGGGAAAGUUAGCAUCAUUCUGAAACCUUAUUAAGUACAGUGUUCUGUCUAUAGAUGAACAGUCAGUGAGGUGUUUCUGACACACAACAAUCACCAUUAUAGCUUGACCAGGGUCUGUGUGCAACACUGCCACUGUAAGUACAAUAACUGUAAGGUGCAGUAUGUACGAGAAUUCAAACAGUCCGAGAUGUUCACUAUAGUUUUGCCUUAGGUCAUGUGAUCAGGGCUUAUAGAACAGAGGUCCACAGCUCAGGUUUUCAUUUGUCCCUGGCACUACAUUGAUUAAGUAAUAUCAUUGAUUGGAUAGUGCACACACACACCUGGUGGCCCAGGUCAAAAUUAGUCUGUGAUUUAAAGUUAGACUCUGUGAAAUGAUGUUGCCAUGAGCAACAACGUAAGAUACUAAGAUGAGCGAGAUGCAACACUUCUCUCUCACACAGUCACACACAGUAUCUGUGCAUGUACACGUGUUCACUACAGAGUGGUAGCCAGGGCACCAAAACAGUAGACAAGUUGAGCUUCGUGCUUCAACGCUCUUAGUUGUGGAAAUUGACCCACUGUGCUGUUUACUGUCUACAUCUACGCCAUAUCGCUGAGGCCACCUUUAAAAGGUUAGUAAGUAAAGCAGCAAACACUGCAGAUUCCCCCAGGACCACAGCUGUGUACCCCUGGUUUAGAGAAAUAUCAUGUGUCCCAAAUCAACCCCGAGCCCCUAUUCCUACAUCCUACCCUUUGGGCACUAUUGCAGAACUGAGAGGAUUGGAUGGGUAUCAGCAAUAUAAUAAUGAAACUCUUAUAGUGCUGUUAUUACAUAAAGAAUCUCAAAGUGCUUUAAAGCAACACACAAAAAGACUAGCGAUUUAGAAAAAUACAUCGUUCAUCAGAUGGAAGUUCAUGAGAGGGUCGGGAAGUUCAUGGCUUGAGUGGUCAUCGGAGGGAGGCUGUCAGAGGGGAAGGGUGAGGAUGGUCAUCGGAGGGAGGCUGUCAGAGGGGAAGGCUGAGGAUGGUCUGGAGCAAGUCCAGGGUCAGACGGGCAGCACGGUGUCAUCAAGGUGGCUCACAACUCCACCUAUCCUAUCAGAGGGCACAGUGGAGCUGUUACCAUAUGGCUUGUACCUAACCAAUCCUUUCCUAUCUAGAGUAGGGGUCAAGGUUUUUGGUUUAGGAUUGGGCCUACUCUGUUUAGUGCUCCCAUUCUUCGCCUACGUCCCAAUUCUCUUCCUUGCUCACAUAGUGUCCACUUGGCUUGCACACUCCCUGUCGUAGAUUUAAAAGCAUGGGAUUGGUAUAAGCAUUGGCUGGAGGGAGGAGGGAAGUUUCCAGCAUUGCUAAGUCCAUGCAUAAAAAAGUGUGCAAGUCCACAUUUCAGGAGAGGAAAAAGGGUGGUGAUUUGGGUCGUGGCCUUCAAGCUCUCAUUGACGUUUGACAAGGCCUGCGGGAUGCAUCCCAAAUGGAACCUUUUUCCUUUUAUAGUGCACUACUUUAGAGCCCUGGUCAGGAAUAGGGUGUCUGUUUAGGGAAGAGGAAGAGGUCUAUGUAGGGAAUAGGGUGGCCAGAGGACCAUUUUAUUAUGAUGAUGAUUAUGACUGUACAAGGUUUGCUUUACUGUUUGUGCUCAGUUAUAAUCCUUUUGGUUUAGGUUGUCCUAAUGGCAGGUCAAGCAAUAAAACAAAUACAUUCUUACAAAGUGUGUCACCUGUGGUUAUUGAUGAUUUGUUUGAGGUGUCUCUCUCUCUCUCUGUGUAUGUCCAUUCUGAUGCCCUUCAUCACCAUAACUCUGCACAUACUCACUACAGAGGAACCCACUGGACACAUGGCAUAUGUCCCAAAUGGCCCCUUAAUCCCUAUGCAGUGCACUACUUUUGACCAGAACCCCAUAGGCCCG
rnacentral:lncRNA from 1 species